CCUGCCAAAGCAAACUCCAGUGCCCAACAGCUGCCCAGCCUCAGCCAUGGCCUGCCUGAGAAGGACUGUUUUGGAAAGUUAGAGAAGAACUGACCCGAGCUGUUUGUGAGCAAUACGGGUGCAGAAAUAUUCAAUCAGCCUGUUAAAGCAAUCUUCUUGACCUUUGUCUUGCCACCAGGACUUCCACUUCUGGUGGAUGUUUCAGAAAUUCAUGCUGCCUCUCUACCUUUGGACCAUCAGUGGAAAGAGCUCUUGUCUGGGACACCACUGGGUCUUGUUCCUAGAGCAACCAUUGCUGGGGGGCCCAUGCCAUGACAGGCUUCAAGGAGGGGUGAGUGGGAGGAACCAAGUGACCUUUAGUCUCACCCAAAGCAGAAAAAGAAUCCCGAGGCCCCAUCCCCAACAGGUGGGCGUCCAGCCUCUACUCAAAGACCUCCAAGGACAGCGAGCCCACUGCCUCUAUGACGCUGAGACAAUGGGCUGAUGCUGGUACAUCACGGACUCAACCUUGUCGUCACUGAAAACUCCCAGGUCCGGAUUUCAAACACCAGGCUUCACAAAGGGACCUCAUGGCUAGUCUGGGAAUGGUGUGAAUCCACGGUCUCUCCAGUUUCACCCAAGCCCAGCAAGUCUGGCUUGGGAAAUACAGGACAAUUUAUAUCCCAGGAAAAAGAUUCUCAGAUGCACUUUGGCCUUUUCACCCUUCCGCCCUGGCACGGCAGUUAGAGCUCAGCAGCCUUUACACAAAGGACAGCUCUGGGAUACCGGACAUACAAAAUUCAAAUCUCAAUGGGCUUCUUGGCUGGCCAGCUUCUAACCUGUUGGAAUUGAUCAAUGACCUUUCUGACUACUCCCUUUACUUAUGUUUCUCAUACAUGACCCUCUGUCUUCCAUUUCCUUGCCCUUACACAGGCUGAACCCCAUGUCUGGAAGGUCCUUGCUCCUCAUCUCCAUUUUUAGAACCCCCAGCUUCCUUCACACCUCAGUUCCAAUGUUGAACACUUUCUAUAUGAGACCUUUCCUCAUCCCCCUAGCUAUUCAUGCCUGACCCGCCCUUCCCCCCAUCAAUUAUCCUGUGUUACAUAUUUAUUUUUAUUUUGGUACUUAUAUAGGGACACGGUAUGUUCCCAGGUAGAAUAUAAGCUCUUUGAAGGCAGGGACUGGGUUUUGGUUUCUGUACCCCUAGUAGCUAGCCAGUGCCUGACACACAGUAGGAGCUUAAUGACUAGUAUCAUAAGGUCAUCGAUUUAAAGUUGGAAGGGACUUAUGAGGUCAUCUGGUGAUCU